rnacentral:rRNA from 1 species
CUACGGGCUGCACCAGUAAGGAAUAUUGCACAAUGGGGGAAACCCUGAUGCAGCAACGCCGCGUGGACGAAGAAGGCCUUCGGGUCGUAAAGUCCUUUUCUGAGGGAAGAGGAAGGACGGUACCUCAGGAAUAAGUCUCGGCUAACUACGUGCCAGCAGCCGCGGUAAAACGUAGGAGGGCGAGCGUUAUCCGGAUUCACUGGGCGUAAAGGGCAAGUAGGCGGUUGUUUAAGUUAGGUGUGACAUCUCUCGGCUUAACUGGGAGGGAGCGCUUAAAACUAGGCAACUAGAGGGCGGAAGAAGGGGGUAGAACUCCAAAUGUAGCGGUGGAAUGCUCAGAUAUUUGGAAGAAUACCAGUGGCGAAGGCGACCCCCCGGUCCGUGCCUGACGCUGAGAGGCGAAAGCUAGGGUAGCGAACGGGAUUAGAUACCCCGGUAGUC